AUUGUAGCAAUAUUGAAAAAUAUUAACUUUGAGUUAAAAAAAGAUGUAAUACGGUUCCUCUAGGGCCAAAUAUUUUUCCACGCUGUUCAUAAUUUUGUAGUAUGGUAUGUGAUAUUAAUUGUAUCAUUCAUUUCCAGACCCUGAUGGAUUUUUCUGAGUUUAACAUAAGCACAGACCUAAUAGUUAUAGAAACUUCAGAAAAGGAAAACUUGUCCUCGGAAAAGGAAAAUGUGCCAUCUGCAAUUGCUGAGAAGAAAGCAGAGCCCAGUUAUAAUUCCAGGAUUGUGGAAAAGUCAUUGGACUCUGCAUCACUAUUUUGAAAAUAUUCUGCUCUCAAAAAACCACAAGGAUAUUCUUUGCGGCUUAACGACUUCAAAAGCACAUGAAAUUUACUAGGACAAUUUGUUUAUAAAUUUUCCAUCAAUGAAAAUAAAUCUUCAGGAACAGCUGAAAUACAAAAAGUCGAACUUACUGCACUUACCAAUUCGCCCUAUGAGGAAACAACGAAUAUAGCCGGAUUUCUCACCAUUCCAUUUUUGCUGAACACUGCGGCAGUCCGCCAAAAGAAGAAGCGAGGUUCCGGUGCAAGUCAAAAUUGGAAGCCCAGUAAAAUGGAAGUAAGGGAAGGUUUCAUAAAGCAUAUCCGCUCUAGUGUAGAAAUUAGCCAGACCAUCGAACUUCGCAUAGCCACACUUCAAAAAAUAGGAUUGUCAUGCCAGCCAUACAUAAUUGUUGUGGGUGAGUCUCUUGAAAAAAUCGAAUCAUUUCUAGUUGUUGUCAGCAGAUCGAUAAUCUAUGAAAGACAGUCCAUUAUGAACGCAGUAGAUACGUGCUACAAAAUAUAUAAUACAAUGAAAAUAUAAUACAU
rnacentral:lncRNA from 1 species